AGAGUUUGAUCCUCGGCUACGAGGACGAACGCUGGCGGCGUGCCUAAUACAUGCAAGUCGAACGGAGAUAUUCGCUGAUGAAGUACUUCGGUAAUGAAUCUUGGAUAUCUUAGUGGCGGACGGGUGAGUAACGCGUGGGCAACCUGCCUUUCAGAGGGGGAUAACGUUUGGAAACGAACGCUAAUACCGCAUGACAUUAUCUUAUCGCAUGGUAGGAUAAUCGAAAGGAGCAAUCCGCUGAAAGAUGGGCUCGCGUCCGAUUAGGUAGUUGGUGGGGUAACGGCCCACCAAGCCGACGAUCGGUAGCCGGACUGAGAGGUUGGACGGCCACAUUGGGACUGAGACACGGCCCAGACUCCUACGGGAGGCAGCAGUAAGGGAUAUUGGUCAAUGGGGGAAACCCUGAACCAGCAACGCCGCGUGAGGGAAGACGGUUUUCGGAUUGUAAACCUCUGUCCUCUGUGAAGAUGAUGACGGUAACAGAGGAGGAAGCUCCGGCUAACUACGUG
rnacentral:rRNA from 1 species